rnacentral:rRNA from 1 species
GUGGGGGAUAUUGCACAAUGGGGGGAACCCUGAUGCAGCGACGCCGCGUGAGGGAAGAAGGUUUUCGGAUUGUAAACCUCUGUCUUUGGUGACGAGAAAGACGGUAGCCAAGGAGGAAGCCACGGCUAACUACGUGCCAGCAGCCGCGGUAAUACGUAGGUGGCAAGCGUUGUCCGGAAUUACUGGGUGUAAAGGGAGCGUAGGCGGGGCGACAAGUUGGAUGUCAAAGGCAUCGGCUCAACCGGUGUAAGCAUUCAAAACUGCCGCUCUUGAGUGGAGUAGAGGUAAGCGGAAUUCCUAGUGUAGCGGUGAAAUGCGUAAAUAUUAGGAGGAACACCAGUGGCGAAGGCGGCUUACUGGGCUUUAACUGACGCUGAGGCUCGAAAGCGUGGGUAGCAAACAGG